AAACACAAAACCCAACCAACCAAAACAAAACAAAACAAAAACAAACAAAAACCCCCCUACACACAGACACACCCACUAAAUUGGACUAAUGAUUUCCAAAAGUAAACUAUCAGAUAGCUAUUCUUCUAUUAUCCAACGGUGCUAGUUUACUAAAUAAGGAAAUAGUAAGAAAAUAAGAGCUUUGAGAGCCAGUAUAACUAAUAAACAUGAAUGAGGAUGCUCUCCAGAGGGAAAGAUUUGCACAGGACCUGAAAUUGUAGUAAACAUUCUACUUUAAAAACGCCCAUGGAAAAUCACUUAGACAAGUUGCACAGUUGAUUGGACUUGUUGUAUUGGCGAGAAUCAGGUGGAAAGCCCACAGUAAUAGUGCACUUUGACGCAAGGAAAGUUCGUGUUGUCAUGACGACUAAUGUGUGAUAUGUGCUGACAUGCCCUGCAAGGCAGUCCCACACUCCCAGCCACUUACCCGUAGCAAAAGAUGUUCUCAAAAACUUCCACUUUUCAGCUAUUCAGUAGUUGUAAGAGAAUGACCUCACAGCUGUAGCUGUUCCCAGAUAAGUUCCUCCUUAAUGCACACAGCUUCAGGUGUUUGGUUUUCUGUGUUACCUAUCAGCACUUCUUCAUGUUUCUGCUGAGCUUAGCUGGCUGAUGGGGUUUGGUUUUUCCUUUGAUUCUUAGUCUUCUAACAGUGUGGCUUUUCUCAUUGCAUGUAUGAAGAAUUAUGUAAAUGUAUCUUAAUGUCUGGCUAUAAAAGGUCAGAAAUUGUACAAAACAGUUCAUGAAUAGCUGAUGCCCAAAUAAGUCCUAUUCUUUUUUCAAAUGUGAAAUCUUGUACUCAUCCAAACUUGCUAGAAGAAACAUUACCUGUGAACAAGUAAAUGGCCAAAGUACUGAUCACUGGGCAUAAUUUACCAGAGUAGAAAGCUAUGGAAUACCUCUCAAAAUGAAAUGGUCAGUAUGUUUUUGGUCUUAGAAGAAACUAUGGUUAUCUGAGGUUUUAUUUGAUUAAAUAACAUAGGGAUAUAUUUGUUUUGUGAUUCCAUUUUCCCGAGUUUCUCGUAAUGCGAUAGUACCUUUAUAUGUCUUUGUAGAAUCUCUUUCUUUUUUCCCAAGACAAUUAGUAUAUGUUUUUUAUUACAUAGAAUUAUGUUAAAAUGUAAAAAAUAUUUUAAAUAAUUACAUGACACAGAAUUUCCCUCUUUUAACAAUGAACAUACUUCCAUUUCUAGCUAACGGCAACAAUAAAAAACUGUUUAUUUUGUCGAGGACAGCUCCACUAACACCAUGCUAAUUGAUGCUUAAUCCAACUUCAUUUGAGAUAUUUCUGCUAAAGGCAUUUGGAAUGGACUCUGAAAUACUGGUUCUUAUGGAGGAAGAUAGUUAUUUUGACUUUUUUUCCUAAGGUUUAUUGGACAUCCCUUUGGCUGCAGGGUGAAAAAAGUUGGCGUUCUUCAAAGAGCAGUUUCCUUUUAUUAAAAUCUGCAGUCAGAGAAACACAGCUUUCAUUGUGCUUUCUCCUAUAUGAGUCAUGUUCUCAAUGGGUGAUUGAUCAACACUUUGUCAAGCCUGGACAUGGCAAACUACAAAAGCAACAUGAUGAAUGGAAUUUAAAAUGUGUUUCAAAAUAGAAUUCCUUCUUUAUGAUCAAAAUGAAAGAAAAUAUUCCACCAGCACCUUGGAUCCAAAAUAAAACUGCCAAGUUAAACAUGACAAAGUUAAUUUAAGGUUGUAUUCUGACUGCUAUGUAGACAUUGAAGAGAAAAGUCAAACAGAACAAGAUAGAUCAACAAGUGGACUAAGCAAUGUUACCUUUGGAUCUCAUAAUUGCUCAAGCAUCUUGAAAAGUCAGAAGAAAAGUGAUGGUACUUAAGCACAUUCCUGGACUAAAGCAUCUCCCCUGUCUGUCCCCCUGUCAUGUACCUCUAAUGGAUAGUGACCAGAAGGAAGAUGGGAGCUCUUCUUCCUUGAAUGUGAGGUUUUUGAUUAUUGUGAUUUCCUUGUAUAUUCAGUCUUCUGAUUAAUUACAUUUUUCUAAAUUUUUUUAAGAAAUGGCACCUGGAGAUAUCACAAUAUUCUUCUUCCUUUAGAUGCCUUGCUUUUUUUCCCACUGCUAACCCCAUGUCUCUUACUACUUCACAAGGUGACACCUGCCUUCAGUCCUAUGUGUGUUCUUGCAGUUUUAGACUACAGGCUUUCUGGGAUAAUUCCUUGCCCAAAAAGCUGGGCAACAUGAUCUUGACUAAGUGCUUAAACAUAACAGCACAGUAAGUAAUGAAUAACGAACAGCUUUUUUUUUUAUGUAUAAUAGAAAAGGUGGAUUUUAAUGUGACCGUUACCUGGAAUAAAGAUGACAACAUUUUACAGAGUUACAGUUGGGAAGCUGCCAGGAAGAAGUGGCCUGAUAGCAACAACUUGUGAUAAAUUUCCAAAGAGUGGCAGUUUCAAAGGUGCAACUUGGAUGUGCUCAUUGUUAGAUUAUGCGAUUAAUUGUGGGAUUAUGUGUGACUCCUCAGCCUGACUGGGCAGGCCAGUGUGCUGCUGGAGUGGUGGAGAGCCCCAAGAACUCUGUGAGAGACCCUGCUCCAUCUCUCCAAGGCUGCUCCAGGAGCCACCUGCUUGAGGUGCUCUACCAGUCAGCUGGUGCUCUGAUUUCUGCUGCCUGCCCUGCCUCCCAGAAUAGUUUUGCUAUUCUGCACCAGGCUUCCUGCCGUGGUGAGCACCAGCAUUUCAGGACACAGCCGUGCUGGCAAAGAAAUAGCCCCAUACUAGUACAAAGAGUAUCAGGUCUGUGAAGGGAACGGAAUAAGGGCAGUGCUGGGUACAGCUUCUCCUACCUAUUGUCUGGCCCCAGUAUCUGGUGUAUCUGGUGGCUAAUGAACCAUGCACCAGGAGAGACUCCAUGUUCCAGACCCCUUCUUGGUAUUUGGCUGCUGCUUACCGUUCUCACAUCAAUCCCAUGUUGCAGGAAGUCUGGCAGCUUUCUGAACAGGCAUAUGGAGAGCAUUUGUUUCUCCUUGCAAACUCGUUGUCUGACGGCUGUACAUGUCCCCUCUUCUCCUGCUCUUUCUUUUCUUUCUCUCCUCACCAUUGGGUUCAAUACUUCAUUUUAUGCAAAAUAUAAUGUGGUCUGUUGCACUGAGCUUCAUUAGUACUUCAUGUAAACUGAGUUGCAGCCUUAAAAUCUGCUGAAAAUCAAAGAAAGGGUGCCCAGUGAGGAGUGCAACAUCUGGGCUUGAACUGGUUAUUUUCUGCUCCUAAUGUCACUACCACAUGCAGUAGGUUCAAGUGUUGUAGUAUAGCAGGGUAAUAUCUGUUCAAAUUUUUACUGUUUUUUUCCGGGUACACUUGGGAAUAAAGGCUUCACAUCAUCUCAGAUGCCAGGAAUUUGCAGUAGAAGCUCUCUUGAUAUGUUUCCUAGCUAAUUAAAAGAAUUAAAUUUU